GCCCCUGUGGCGGAACUGGCAGACGCGCUCGGCUCAAACCCGGGUGCCGCGAGGCGUGAGGGUUCGAGUCCCUCCGGGGGCACGA
rnacentral:tRNA from 1 species